UAGGGAAUAUUGGGCAAUGGAGGCAACUCUGACCCAGCAACGCCGCGUGAAGGAUGAAGGUUUUCGGAUUGUAAACUUCUUUUAUUUGGGGCAAAGAAAAUGAUGGUACCAAAUGAAUAAGCCACGGCAAACUAUGUGCCAGCAGCCGCGGUAAUACAUAGGUGGCAAGCGUUAUCCGGAAUGACUGGGCGUAAAGGGUGCGUAGGUGGUUUUUUAAGUUAGAUGUGAAAUCCCGGGGCUUAACUCCGGAACUGCAUUUAAAACUGGAAAACUUGAGUGGAGAAGAGGUAAGUGGAAUUUCUAGUGUAGCUGUGGAAAGCGUAGAUAUUAGAAGGAACACCGGUGGCGAAGGCGGCUUACUGGUCUCUAACUGACACUGAGGCACGAAAGCGUGGGGAGCAAACA
rnacentral:rRNA from 1 species